rnacentral:rRNA from 1 species
AAAAAUUUAAAAUUUAAAUAUUAAAGUAUUAAAAGAUAUUUUUUUGAAAUUUAAAAAAUUUGACAGUAUUUUAUCUAUUUAGAGGAACUUGUUUUUGAAUUGAUAUUCCUCAAUAAAUCUUACUUAAUUUAAAAAUUUAUAUACCGUCAUUUUUAAAAAUCUUUAAAAAGAAAUAAUUUUUUUAAUAAUUAAAUUUUUAUAUUUUAGAUCAAGGUGUAGUUUAUAAUUAAGUUAAAAUGAGUUACAAUAAAAUUUUAUUUAUAUGAAUUAUUAUUUGAAAAUUUAAUAUGAAGGUGGAUUUAAUAGUAAAUUUAAAUAGUAAAUUAAAUUGAUUAAAGAUCUAAAAUGUGU